UCGGUUGGUGUGUGAGCUGCGGAGAACAUCGCGGGAAUACUUUCUCCGAUUUCAAACGUAAAAAUGCCUUCAAAUUUUCCGAAACAAAUCAUAACGGCUGCAGCAGAAGUGGUGACUGACCCCUCGGCCCAUGAGGUGUGGAAGCGAGAAUGAUGAGUGCCAGUCUUCAGAAUGACGAGGUGGCAUUGCCCAGUUUAAGCAGGGUCAUGGAACAACUCUUUCCUCCGUGAAAAGACCUCUAUGGAGACAGAAAUAACUCUGGGCCUAGUCUCAGUAGAACCAUACCUUGACCCGACGUCACCAACCAGGGAAGGACACGUUUUCCAGUGGUCAUUCCAUUCUGCUACACUAGGAUACGAAUCCUAUCAAACUGGAGCGCCACCAGUUCACAAAUGGAGUUCCUUCAUAGCUUUUUGUUAGAAAUAUCUUUUUGUAUAAAAACCUAUUAGUGAUUUUUAAAUAUCGACAGAUGAAUAUACCAGUUCAAUUCGAACAUUUGAAUUUGUCCUCAACAUUUCAAAUGAUAGAUUGAAAGUUUCACAAUCAGUGGUUGUUUGUACAUUUCAUCAUUGGUGUCCGUUCAUAAUCCAGGACAACAUUUGACACGUCCUUCCUGUGCCCGGUGUGACAGCGGAUAUAGUCCCCCUGGAGCCAUAGUCCGCUAGCAUUGUAUUUGACCAAUUAAGCAGCAUGAUCUAUUGUACCGCUAACCCAAACCAAAACAUUUAGCAAUGCGGGCUAUUGUUACACGGACUAUCAGCCCUAGGACUACUAUCCCUUGCACACCGGUCGUUCAAAUUGCAUUAGCCCGUUGAUGAUGUCUUUUAACGUCAAGCGGUUCCUGUGAACAACAAUCAGGACCAAGUGUGUUGUCGCACCACUUUCGCUGUCACAAUCUCAUCAACAUUAUCAGGAUGAUCAGGUCACAGAUCGCCGAUACUUCAGGGGAGUUGGGGGAAAAACUCUGGUGUAAAAGCAGAAAAUUUCCCAUGGAAAAAGUGUCCGGGCCUAUUGUAUUCUGUCGGAUUAUGCUAUAAAUGGUUCUGUAUUAGAUGCCAUGACCGCCAGAUUAAAGUGAGUGAUAGAAUGCUUGGUUCCCGGACAUUCUAUCCCCCGCUGUAGAAAUUCCCAGAAAAAAAGUUGUAAAUUCUACUCUAAUAAUUUAUUGUUCAAUAAAGAUAUUAAAAACUAGAUCGUGAUAUUUGUCAUCCUCUUCCCCUCGCUGACCCUUGA